CUUUUUCAAAACAGGCUAGAAAGUGCUAGACUGUUUUAACUGGACUGUUGUAAUAGGGUUUUUAAAAAUCCUUUUAGUUGCAUUUUAUUCUUUUAUCUUGAGGUUUGAAUUCUUUUAAUGAUGUGAUUCAUUUAAGUCUAUUUUAAUGUCCAUUUUGUAUGUUGUUAAUUUGUAUUGUUCUUUUGCAUAGUGAGUAGCUUUGAUUCACAAUUUGUGGGGAAGCAGAAUACAAAUAUAUGUAAAUAACAACAACAUGGCAUAUUUUCUGUGUAAUAUUAACUGCGGAAAUGCUGAAGAUUAUGGGAAAAAAUCAGAACAAUGUGAUAUCUAGUCAGACCAAGUGACUCAUUGUAGCUGGCAGUUGCUGAGCUGGUAGUUGCGUGCUUUGGAUCCUAUUAUGCCAAAUUUCUAAAACACACGGGUUAAGCAUUGGGUGAAUGCACAGUUUGUCAUCUCUGAUACAUACUUCCUUUCCAUUCUGUUUCUCCCCUUUCACAAAAGCAAUGUUAACUUUCUUGGAUAGACAAUUAUGGAUUGGUGCAGGUGGGUUAAGAAUGGGUCUUUCUGCAUUCAGAGAGCUUCUGCUGAUGGAGCAGUAUGUUUGCCUGGGAGACCCUAUGCCUCCUACUUCAGUCAACAUGACCAACAUUGCUCUCUAUCCAUGGUUAUACUGGAGAGCAUUUCCCAAAAGAGCAUUCUGCUGCUGUAAGAAAAUUGCACAGACAGACUACAAACAGAGGCACAACUAUGUGGCCCAAAUGAUUCAUUGGAACUUAUGCCACAAGUACCACCUCCCAGCAGUAAAAAACUGGUGGGAUCACAAACCUGCAAAAGUAUUGGAAAAUGAGCACGCAAAGAUACUGUGGGACUUCCGAAUCCAGACUGACAAAGUUCUGGAACACAACACACCAGACAUCACAGUUGUGGAAAGGAAAAAGGUUUGAAUCAUUGAUGUUGCCAUCCCAGGUGACAGUCGCAUCGACGAAAAACAAUAGGAAAAACUCAGCCGCUAUCAGGACCUCAAGAUUGAACUUCAAGAUUGACUCUGGCAGAAACCAGUGCAGGUGGUCCCGGUGGUGAUGGGCACAUUGGGUGCCGUGCCAAAAGAUCUGAGCUGGCAUUUGGAAACAAUAGACAUUGACAAAAUCACAAUCUGCCAACUGCAAAAGGCCACCCUACUGGGAUCUGCACGCAUCAUCCGAAAAUACAUCACACAGUCCUAGACACUUGGGAAGUGUUCAACUUGUGAUUUUCUGAUACGAAAUCCAGCAUGUCUAUCUUGUUUGCUGUGUCAUAAUAAAAUAAUAAUAAUGAACAAUAACUGUAGUAACCACUGGCUUAGAGAGCUGAGCAAUCAGUAAAAAU
rnacentral:lncRNA from 1 species